rnacentral:tRNA from 1 species
GCCGUCAUCGUCUAGAGGCCUAGGACGACACCCUUUCAAGGUGUAGACCGCGGGUUCGAAUCCCGCUGGCGGCA